UUAAAUUGAAGAGUUUGAUCAUGGCUCAGAUUGAACGCUGGCGGCAGGCCUAACACAUGCAAGUCGAACGGUAACAGGAAGCAGCUUGCUGCUUUGCUGACGAGUGGCGGACGGGUGAGUAAUGUCU
rnacentral:rRNA from 12 species